AGAGUUUGAUCAUGGCUCAGAUUGAACGCUGGCGGCAUGCCUUACACAUGCAAGUCGAACGGCAGCAUGAUCUAGCUUGCUAGAUUGAUGGCGAGUGGCGAACGGGUGAGUAAUACAUCGGAACGUGCCCUGUAGUGGGGGAUAACUAGUCGAAAGAUUAGCUAAUACCGCAUACGACCUGAGGGUGAAAGUGGGGGACCGCAAGGCCUCAUGCUAUAGGAGCGGCCGAUGUCUGAUUAGCUAGUUGGUGAGGUAAAGGCUCACCAAGGCGACGAUCAGUAGCUGGUCUGAGAGGACGAUCAGCCACACUGGGACUGAGACACGGCCCAGACUCCUACGGGAGGCAGCAGUGGGGAAUUUUGGACAAUGGGCGAAAGCCUGAUCCAGCAAUGCCGCGUGUGUGAAGAAGGCCUUCGGGUUGUAAAGCACUUUUGUCCGGAAAGAAAUGGCUCUGGUUAAUACCUGGGGUCGAUGACGGUACCGGAAGAAUAAGGACCGGCUAGCUACGUGCCAGCAGCCGCGGUAAU
rnacentral:rRNA from 1 species